CAAAGAUGACCUGUUGUUGAAUAUCUUUGACCUGUAGUGCAAAGAUGAACUGUUAAUGAAUAUCUUUGGCCCGUAGUGCAAAGAUGAAUUUAUUAGUAUGAUUAUAAACAGGAACUGUGAUUUGGUAUAACCAUGAUCUUUGAUGUUUCAGGUAAAGACAGGUGAUGAAAAUUAUCUUCGUCCUGGGUGCGAAGAGGAAAUUAGAAUCACAAUU
rnacentral:lncRNA from 1 species